rnacentral:rRNA from 1 species
GUCCACGCCGUAAACGUUGGGCACUAGGUGUGGGGUUCUAUCGACGGAUUCCGUGCCGUAGCUAACGCAUUAAGUGCCCCGCCUGGGGAGUACGGCCGCAAGGCUAAAACUCAAAGGAAUUGACGGGGGCCCGCACAAGCGGCGGAGCAUGUUGCUUAAUUCGAUGCAACGCGAAGAACCUUACCUGGGUUUGACAUGUAGGGAAAAGCCGUAGAGAUACGGUGUCCUUCGGGGCCCUACACAGGUGGUGCAUGGCUGUCGU